rnacentral:tRNA from 1 species
GGGAGUGUAGCUUAGUGGCAGAGCAUUCGACUGCAGAUCGAGAGGUCGAUGGUUCAAAUCCGCCCGCUCCUU